UAGGGUUAUGCAAGUGUAUAAUAGAACUGUUUUGAACAGGUACUCACAGUAUUCGUGAUAACUGAGCUAGAUAGGUAUUGUAAAACCAAUGGGUUAUGGGUGAAUCAUUUGCUGGAUCUGCAUGCACACAGACAAAUACAUGACGACUUAAUUUGUUCCUAAAAGUAAGUGGAAGAGAAAAAUAAAGAAUGAAUAGUCCACAUCAUUCACAUUAACACGGGCAACUAUAAAGCUAUAAAGGUCAUUGCAUGAAUCACAAACCCCACCAAAUCCCAAACUAAUCAAACCUUUCAGUUGGCUCUCUAAUGCAGUCCAUGAACAAACAAACUCGAGAGCAUUCAGCUGAAACAACAAACACAGCAGACACAGUCUUACUGAACAAUGAAAAGGAAAGCCAAUUGAGAACAGUUUGUUGCAAGGAAAUUUGCAUCAGGUGCUGAACAACCGUAGUACACAGGUGGAGCUCGUGGGUAACCUGGCGCAUGAAGGCGUAAACUGUAAGGAUCAUCUGCAAAAUUUGACAAGUUUGCAGAUAUCCUCUCCUUAGACUCUGCAACAAGAAGAGAACAGUGAACUUCCAUAACCUGUGAAAAAAAAAAUACAGAUACAGUAACACAAAAAUCUUGACGAGCCGAGAUCGAGGGGUAGGAGGAGCAGGGAACGAAGAAGAGAACUAAUCGAAACGGCCCACCUAAUUCUUGGCCCAGCAACUCUCCAGGGAGAUCGUGGGCCGACCCCGCACCGGCAUACCCCCCGGCGGCGCAUCGCCGCCGGCGUCAUGGAGCCAUGGAGGUGCAGUGCUAAUGAUGAUCAUCAGGAAGAAAGCAAGUAAUUUGAGGUUGAG
rnacentral:lncRNA from 1 species